UGGUGGAGUGAUUUGUCUGCUUAAUUGCGAUAACGAACGAGACCUUGACCUGCUAAAUAGCCAGGUUGACUUUUGUCGGCCGCCGGCUUCUUAGAGGGACUUUUGGCUCAAGCCAAUGGAAGUACGAGGCAAUAACA
rnacentral:rRNA from 1 species